GAGCAGCACACAUCCAGCACAGCACCAGGCACUGCCGUGGGCUCAGCCCUCCAAACCCAAAGGCUUGCACUGCGCUGGGCCACCUGCACAGCACUCAGGUUGGUGUUCACCCCGCUUGGUGUCCCCUACUGAUAUACAGGAGCACCCAAGGUGGUUCCAGAGCUGCACAGAGCUCCUGUGCCAGGCCGGGAGGUUGGGCUGCCCUGGGUGUGUGCUCUGGUGCUCAGCUGGGAGGGCACAUCAGGUCCGUGUGUCCACAUUUGAACCUGGGCUGCUAUCUGUUACCUGAUGCUGACAGCCCGCAAUCACCGCUGGCCUCUCCCCGUGCACAGAGGUGCUCACAGAGCCCAAAGUGUCAGAGAUAUUCAGGGCAGCAGCCAAGGAGCACUGCACAGCGCUGUGGGUCUUCAUACCUCGGGAAGCGUUGCCCAACAGAAUUGAAACAGCAGCUGAUGGUUUCCCAAUUAUUGCUUAAUAACGAGCAGCUCCUCCCCUGCCCCCAGACAGCAAACAGUGCACAGUGCUGCGGUGACGGAGCUGCUGAGCGAUGCCUGCUGCACCCUCCUGCUUUUCUCCUACCUCCAAGCUGGGGAGAUCCCCACCGCUCUGCUGUGCGUUUCACCUCCUCUUCGCCCAUUAAGAGGCCCUCUGUGCUCAGCAGGACGUUGGGAUGGGGCUCUUGCUGCUCUGUGCGUGGCAGCAGCUGAAGGCACGCGUUUUCUGCCUGCAUUUUUUGCUGACAGCCGGCAUCAAAGCUAUUCCUUUUAAAUGUCUGAUGCUGUAUCUCGUUGCAGGAGGCUGUGUUGGGUUACUCCUUGCCACAUACCACUGCGAGAGGGUGUGUUAUUUAAAGAACCAGUGCUUAGCAAACCUCACUCCCUCACCCCGUUGGAUAACUGUGCUAUAAGCACGAGUGGCCUUGCUUUUCUUUCCAAUGGCUGCGUUUUUAAAGGCACCCAGAUUAGAAACCAAUUUGCAGGUAAGGGAAGCAUCGCCUCUGGGGUUUUCUGCUGGCUCAGUCGCAGCAUGGCAGCGGGCAUGAGCUGCUGUGCAUCUGGAUACGGGAGUUUGGGUCUAUGCCACUGCUUUGGGGCAGGUUGGGAUUCCAUGCAAGCCUUUGGGCCUGCAAAGAGCAAGGCUUUUGGAGAAGCUCCCUCUGCCUCAAUGCAAAAAGCUCCGGAGCCACGCUGCCCCUUCCCACCAUCCCACAUCAGCCAAAGCUUCCUUCUAAGCUGCAAAUGAAUUAUUGAUGCAAUUAUUCAUCCUCAUUUAAACAUCUAUUUUGUGGCAUUUAAAUAACAGCGCUCAGAAUAUGUCAACAGUUUACACAAUAAUUUGGAUUCUGAUCUUUAUACCUCUGUUUUCUCCCACACAAAUAAUUGGAACUCAUCCAUUCUAAGUGACAAUUGCAGAUAAGCAUCGCUCUUUUUUUUUCCUGUUGCACAUGUGCAUUAUCUAAAUAUAUUAAAACACUCCAUUUUAAAUUCAUUUGAAUGAUUAAUCAGUUACUCGGCUGUAAUUGUUUGUGUUAAGACAACUCAGAUUAGAAAACAGAUCAGGGAGACAAUUAGGAAGGCAAGCAGUGUGAAAUCGCUGUCGAUAGCUGCGUGUGAGCGGCUGAGGAUGCAGCGCUGUGCUGCAGAGCAGUGGCGUUCUGCUGUGGGCUCCGUGCACCCCAGUGUGGGACCGGCACUGUGCUGGGACCCCGGGCUGGCACUGGUCUGGGGGGCUGCGUGGGAUGGGAUGGAUGCUGCUGCUCCCAUAGGGAUGCAAUGGGGUGCCAAGGCUGGGCUUCGUGUGGGGACCUGGAUCCAUCCCAAGCUGCAGAAAAGGGGAAACAUUGGAAAAACCCCAUGAGGAGAGGAGAAUAGGAGGGCUCUCGGCUGGGCAUGGUGCAGCUCUGCAGCCAGUGUGUUUUGCCCAACCACAGCAGCGGGGCUACAGCAGGAUGCACCCAUCCCCACAUCCCUCCCUGCAGGUUCUCAUUGAUCAUCCCACUGUAUUAAUUACCCCUGGGAUACUCCACUUACCCUGAGCAGCUGCAGCUCCUCUCCUCCCGCAGGGCUUUGCUCUGCUUCAUGCCCAGAUAGGAGGGAGUUGGGCUCUAACGUCACAGCUCGGGCUCUGACCACCCCGGCACAAAGCUUGCUGGCAGCGAGGCGAUGACAAGUGGCACUGACCCAUGCUGGCAUCACUCCCAUGCCCCCCCCCAGCCCGGCUGAUCCCCCCGCUCUCCCCCCCAAGUUGGAACAGAGGCUCUCCCAGGCUGUGCUGUCCCCAUCGUGAAGGAGUGGUUUGGCACUACCCUGGGUGAAAAUGCGGCAUAAGGAGCCAGAACAGGCGCUGGCCAGAGGGAGCUGGGUGGCAGCCAGGGGCUUGGCCCCAUCCCCAGCAGCAGGAGGUCUGCCCUUAAAUGUGUGCUUUAAGGAGAAAGCACUUCAGACAGCUCACCCCGAGCUGUCAGCCCACGCUGUGCCCCCCACCCUGCAGAACCUGGGUUGCUUUGCUUCGAUCCCAGAGCCCUGCCUGGUGAUGGAUGGCAGUGCUCAGACACACAGCCCCGCUGCUUCACUGCAAUUUGUAUUUCUGGCUUCAAGGAGGAACGCUGGAGCUGCCCUAAUGCUUCUUGUUGUUGAAGUGCCUCAGCACUUUCUGGGCUCCUUGGCUCAGGAGAGGAAUCAGGUUUUGAUUUUGCUGAUCAUUACCAGAAGCAAUGCAAGCAGGGUUUGUGAGCUGGGAGCCGAGAGGCCACCUGCACUCAUGCGAUGAUCUGCACCACCACUGCACUGAUGUGGUUACAAAAGCCUGCUGGCUGUGGUGAGAAGGGUGCAUGGCUUGAAGGCAGCAGCAGGACAAAGCAGUUUUGCAAAACCUGCAGAUAAGAAGCAGCGGUGCAGCCCUGAGCUGUGCACCCAGCUGCACCUGCAGCACAGAGCAGCAGCAAAGUGCAAGUGGCUGCUGGUGGAGGACCACAGAACCAUCGAAUAUCCCACGCUGGAAGGGAUGCAUCAGGGCUGCCACGCAGCCAUCCUACAGCCAGACGCUGCCGUGAUGCAUGGAGCUCGUUCCCCAUCACCAGCAGCUCGAGCAAAGUCGGCUGUAAUGAAAAACCAAUAUUUCCCACAAUCCCCUCCAUAAUGACUUUAGCACAUUGAUGAGCUGGGAGCUGCACGCUGCAGGGCCAGCUGCAUGCAGAGGGGUGCAGCGAGCGCCGACAGCAGGCCCCAGAUUCCUGUUUGCUAACAGAGAGCUCGGCACGACGACUGCUGCAUUGCCCCGCCACGCACACCCAUGCACACUUCUUGCAGUCCCGCUGCACCCACCAGCAUUCCCUUGCAAAAAGCCAGCAGCGUCCAUCAGCACCGUGCUCAGCAAAAGGGAGCAGCGCUCUGAAGGCUCCUUAAGCAAACCCACAAACCCACCCCUGGCAGCAGUUUUCCCUGCUGUCCCCACAUCAGCUGCAGGAGGUGCUGCGAGCAGUUCGUACACAGACAGCUUUUGUUCUGCUCCUGGAGAGAUCCCCCAACCCCUUCAAAGCCACUCAGCCUCUUGUACUAUUAUUACUUUUUUUUGGACUCCAGUAAGGGGAAAAACAUCUUUCAUUUGUCCUAAUUUAAUGCUGUUAAUGAGAUUGAUGCUGCAGGCUGCCCAUAACGUCAGCAAGACGUGUGGGUCAAGCACCCUCCAUUAACAGCAGCACCCAGCCCACAGCCAUGACCCUGCUAUCAGGGGGCAGGCCCUUUGGCAGCAGCACAGCGUUUUACCAGCCCUGUUCUCACCCGGUUUUCAUUUUCUUUCCUAUUUUUGCAGCUCUGCUCCAUUAAUCUUCUUCCUGGCAUCAGUUUUCUGAAGCCUCGGUAUGUAAUGCGUUCAGCAGCACUGCGCGUUUGCUUUUUAUUUCUCCUUCUCCCCUAGGUCUCGUUGGCUUUGUAACAAGGCACAGAACGACCUGAUGAUGGGAAGGAUGUACAGAUGCUUCUCAGUUGGGCACUGUGUGGCUCUGAGCGCUCACCUCGAGCUGCUGGCUCUGCCCCCAGGUGCUCCCCCGUUGGCAGGAGGGAUGCUGCUGCUCCUGUCACAGCUGUCCCCUUAUGGCUGCAGAACCCUUGCUCGGGGCUCCUGAUACCCAGGGCUGGUCCAGGUGCUCCUGGAGUCCGGCCAGCUGUGAUAAAUCUCCUUAAUUGCAGCUCAUUGUAAUUAUGCUUUAUAUGGAGCUGAUGCUAUUACUGCUGGGUGCUUUGGCCUGAUCAAUCCUAAGCAGGAGAUCUCUAGCCCUCCUUGGGGGCUGGGGACAUUGAGCUCCAGGGUUUGCUGGGGCUGGUGGAGCUGGCUUUCAGCCCUGUGCUGCAAUGGGCAGAGUGCAGGAGCAAAGGUAGUGGGGAGAUGGCCAUCCGUACCUCACUUCAUUUUGGUACUGUCCACCCAAGAACCUGUCUGGUGCGUGUGCAGAACCUUCAGCAUUAAUGACCCUCUGAAAGGUAAGCAAUCAGAGAAUCAUUACGGUUGGAAAUGGCAUCUGAGAUCCCCACCCCACCAUGCCCACUGACCACAUCCCUCGGUGCCACAUCUCUAUGUUCCCUGAGCAUCCCCAGGGAUGGAGACCUCCACCGCUCCCUGGGCACCCUGUGCUGGUGCAUUACAGCUCUUCAGAGAAGAAAUGUUUCCAGAUGUCCAGCCUGAUCCUCUCCUGGUGCAAUGUGGGACCAUCACCUCUCAUCCUAUCAACACCACUGCCAUCUCCAGCCCUUCUCUAAGCGCUCCAUGCAUCCACAGCGGGAAAUGCCCCACGGUCUCUUCCCACCCAGCAGCGGGCGCUCCCGACCCGGGGUGCUCCAUGGAUCAUGGCACGGCUCCAUCUGGCUGAUCCCAAGGAAUGCCCGGGCGCAGCCGCAGCUCCGGGGGAUUAAACUGAAGUCUAACGUUACACCCCUUGGAAGAGCAGAGCUUUACUUGGAAACCGAAUCGCAUUAAUUAGCAUUCUGCUAAUGGCUGUUUUGUAUAAAUAUAGUGUGCCUUAAUACCAACACGAGUCGCAGGUUGACAUAUUUAGAUCGCUGAUAUCAAAGUCAUUAACGCCUCUCCGUGGUAAACCUAUUCUCAGUUCGGGCUGCAAAUGGGAUUCUCCUGAGCCAAUCAAUCUUCCUAAAGCCUGAGCAGAGCCUGUUGAUCUUUAGCCACUGAAUGGAUGCAGCUUCCCAGAAAUGUGCUUGCAUCUGUCAGAAUUAUAAGCAGCUGGCAGCCCCAGACAGGGGUCAUAUUUGCCGUGAGUGUGAAAAUAGGAUCCCAGGACAAGAAAUGCUACUUAGCAGCGUAUCGAUUCUGGGCGUGCUAUUAAUGUUGCAGCACAAUGCGUGUGUGUGUCCGUGCAGGCACUCCUGCACAUGCCAAUUAUGUAUUUAUACGCAAGGUCUCCUCUCACACAGACCCCGUGGUCCUGGAGCUGAUCCAGGGCUUAUUAAAACUUGGUGACAUCAAAGGAUGGGAAAGGUCUGCCCGAGCUGAGGAACUCGGAGAGCUUAACAAUUAUUUUGCCUUAAUUCCCUCCUAAUUUAUCGUCUUUUUAUUGCCCUGAUUAAAAGCUCCCCUGUUUGAUAGCGGCACCGAAGGUAAUGGCGUUCUUCCGAGACUGAUGGGUGGCAAUUCCAGCAGGGGCUGCUGCCAUCUGUGGGGCACUGCUGUGGGUUUCUGUCACAGCGUUGCCACCACAGCCACACUGCCAGCGCAGUGCCAUCCCUGUGCUGCUCUGUGUGCCAGGCUGUGCGCUCAGCAUCGUGGCUCCUCAUGGCGCAGCCCCACAGCUCGACCCGGUGCUCAUCGCAGUGCUGUUCCGUGCUGGUUAUUAUUAGAUGGCAGUGACACGGAUCAAAGCACGUAAGCCCAACUUCUGAAGCACGCAACCACCAACCUCGUCCAGGAGAUCUUGCUCAUUGCUGCAGCUUAGGGCCAAGCGUUUUAGCUUGAGCGUUUUCAGCCUUGGAUUACAAAUUGCAACACUUCUGAAGUCUGUGGGACUCAGCGCCUUCAGUUUCCAUGCUGGGGAUGGUGAAGGGAUACUCCUGCAUCUGUUCCAUGAGAUUGCCAAGCAGCACAAUGGGAAACAUGCUGGGCAACAAAUGGGAAUGGGCCGGCAGCAGUGAGAGCUGACUUUGUCAGUGGAGUUUUUUGGUGUUAUUUUUCUAAUUUUUUUCUUUUUCUUUGGUUGGGAGGACAUAAUAACACCUGUGCUUGGCUGAUGGAUGUUAAAUAAUGCUCCUUUCCUGGAUUGAGGCAGACGGCAUGUAACACUGAGGUCUGUGUGCUGCACUGAUUACCCUGAGCCCCUGUUUGGGUUGUCUGGGGCUGAGCUGCUCUCCCUGGAGCUCUGGAGCGGCUGCAGUUCACCAUCGGAAGUUUCUAGAAUUGGACCCAUCAGUAAAGGUAUUGCACAAAAAUGAGCGUGAGGCAAGAGAGCGGUCAGGGUGUGGGAAAUACACUUGGUAUGAAUGACUGUGAGUAUGGACUGAUGCUCCCAGGCGUCAUCACAUGCUCACUGCUGCCUGUCCUCACCCAUCUGCACCGUGUGCGUCUUCAGCUGCAACUGGGCUGCUUGCUUAUCAUACCCAGGUGCCUGCCAAAUGGGAAAGCUGUCUUCAAAAAGAUAUAAGCGGGGAUGAUUCUUAUGCCAUUAUUGCUCAGGGUCUGCUGAAUGCUUGCAGGGCAAAGCAGUGCAUCCUUGAGAAUGUCUGAAAUGCUGCGUUAUAGGCGCACCAGUUGCAAAAUAGAUUUAAAUUACGUCGAGCAACAUGCUGCGGAAUUUAUGCUUCCAAUUUCUCCAUUUAGUGGUGAAUCAGGCUUGUUUGCAUUGCCAGCUAAUCUUUCUGCCAGAGUUGUUAAUGUGCUCUGACCCCUCUUUAACUCUGCAUGCUGAGCUUGCCAUUCAGCUUUUCUCUCUUAGCAGUGAAUCAGCCACAUGUGCCGGAGCCCCACUGCACAGCCCCUGUGGGCUGGAGGUGGCCUUGAGUGGCUUUUCCUGGUGAGACUCUGAGAUUUCAUUUGCUUGCAAGAAACCUGAGUUCUCUAGACGUUGCACCUUGCUUUCUCUGGAAGGCUUCCAGCAUUCAUUCUUGACAGGGAGCCAGCUCAGGCUGCCGUCCUGCUGCUGGAGGGCACUCCCAGCCUGGUGCUGUUGGGAAGCCCUGCUGCUCCCACACCAGCACGGUGCUUUUUGCACUGAGCGUGGCCCAAGUUGCAACUACAGCCCGUGACUCAUUUGCUCAGUGCUUGCCAAGGCUGCUGAGUGGCUCCUGCUGCUCCCAGGGUGCCUCCCGUGCCCUGUAGGCUGCUGCUGCAUCUCCCUUCAUGUUCUGCUGGCACCACAGAUGUCUGUGUACUGCACCUCCUUAAAAUGAUAGAAUCAUUCUGGUCGGAGAAGACCUCUGGGAUCCCCAGCCCAUCCCACCAAGCCCACUGACCAUACAUCCCUCAGUGCCCCACCUCCAUGCUCCCUGGGCACCCCCAGGAAUGGUGACCCCACCACUCCCUGGGCAGCCUGUCCUGGUGUGUUUCAGCUCUUUUGGAAAAUAAAUGUCCCCUAAUAUCCAACCUGAGCUCCCCUGGCACCACUUAAGGCCAUUCCCUAGACAUAAAACCCGAGAACCUUUAGGACCUCUAAGAUCAUCAGGUCCAACCAACCAACCCACCACCAUGACCACUCAUCCAAGUAUUUCUUUAGGGAGGAUGUAGGAUGCUGUAGAAGUGCUGUUCCCAGUGCCCAGCGUCUACUCAGGGCUCCCAUGUGUCUGAAGCAUAGCCAACCCGCCACUAAUGCCCCCUCCUCAGCUGGCGCUAUGGUGCAGUCCCACGUAGAGUAUGCCAAUGGGGAAUCCCUCCACGGUGCACUGAGGGCACACUGCCCCCGAUGCACCCGCACGCACGCAGCCUGCAAAAUCGAAUAACAACCAGUUUAAAAACAUACUAAAACCAGAAAAUUUAUGUAGCAUGACCCAAAUUGAAUUAUACAUUACAGCACUGUAAUUGAUUUUUUAGAAGAGAGAUUAAAUUUAUUUUAUGCCUCACUAACUAACAGCUAGAUUUACCUAAUUGCUUAGAGUGCAGAGUUAGUAUGAUUCAUUAAACCCCAUACAUGCCUGGGUACAUUACACUGUGACUAAAGCUUCCCUGCUUCGAGCAAUUAAAGUGGAGAAACUUGGGGCCUCAUAAGUAAUUGAAUAUAACAAUACGGCUUGGAGUUGCUGUGGAUGUCUUAUUAAGUUCUUCAAGCAAAAAGACACACGUUCCCUCUGUUCUCCAGUGAAUCAUUUUGUGAGAUUCUCUAUGACUGGUGUUGUUUUCUCCUAUUGCCAAAAAAUAAAAUAAAAUAAAAUAAAAAAUGGUAUCUACGA